rnacentral:rRNA from 1 species
GGGGGGGUCUACAUGACAGGUCGAACGGGGGGUGCCAUGAACGAAGCAUCAGUUUACUGAUAUGGAGGGAAUGGGACCCUAGUGGCGGACGGGUGAGUAACGCGUGGGUAACCUGCCCCAUACCGGGGGAUAACACUUAGAAAUAGGUGCUAAUACCGCAUAAGCGCACGGUACUGCAUGGUACAGUGUGAAAAACUCCGGUGGUAUGGGAUGGACCCGCGUCUGAUUAGCUUGUUGGCGGGGUAACGGCCCACCAAGGCGACGAUCAGUAGCCGGCCUGAGAGGGUGGACGGCCACAUUGGGACUGAGACACGGCCCAAACUCCUACGGGAGGCAGCAGUGGGGAAUAUUGCACAAUGGGGGAAACCCUGAUGCAGCGACGCCGCGUGAGUGAAGAAGUAUUUCGGUAUGUAAAGCUCUGUCAGCAGGGAAGAAAAUGACGGUACCUGACCAAGAAGCCCCGGCUAACUACGUGCCAGCAGCCGCGGUAAUACGUAGGGGGCAAGCGUUAUCCGGAUUUACUGGGUGUAAAGGGAGCGUAGACGGCAGGGCAAGUCUGGAGUGAAAGGCGGGGGCUCAACCCCCGGACUGCUCUGGAAACUGCCAGGCUGGAGUGCAGGAGAGGUAAGUGGAAUUCCUAGUGUAGCGGUGAAAUGCGUAGAUAUUAGGAGGAACACCAGUGGCGAAGGCGGCUUACUGGACUGUAACUGACGUUGAGGCUCGAAAGCGUGGGGAGCAAACAGGAUUAGAUACCCUGGUAGUCCACGCCGUAAACGAUGAUCACUANGUGUCGGUGGGUA